AUGCCAUCGCGCUUUGCUUCCGUCCGGUUCCGGAGGUCGGCAACGAGAAUCUGCAGUCAUCGUGAUGGUUCGACUCCCCACCGGUAUGACUCCGCGCGCAAAAAGAUCGCAGGAGCAGCACACGUUCCCUGGAAGCGAGCCUUCCUUCGCGCAAUUAAAAGAAAAAAAAACAACCACGACCCACUAUCGUCCCACGUCCCACGUAUCCUCUCCCAGUUUCCCCCACCUCUCGCUCCUGAUCCAUCUCUCUCUCGAUCUCGUGAGAAAAAUCGCCGCCACCGCCGCCACGUCACUCGUGUGCAACUGCCCAUCUGCAUCACCGUCCGACGCUCGUCUCGGUCGUCGUCGCGCAGCCAAUCCACGCCGCCCUUGAGGUUGACCCCUGUGGGGAAGCUGGCGGGAGGCCGACGCUGUCGAGGCGCUCGCCGCCGUGUCCGCCGCCGCGAGGCGCGGGUAUGCGGCGGCCUGCUGGCAGGUGGCUGCCAGGGCCAGGGCUAUCGGGUAGGAGAGCGACCACAACCGCCGGUUCCUCAGCUGCUCGCCUCGGCUUUCCAGAGCCUCACUGGUGAGCCCGUGUAUGGCACCAGCGCCGCAGUAUUGGGCGCAUUGGGAAGGUUUUUGUGGCCCUUACCGUGUUCUUCCCGCUCGACGAGGAGGCCCGACGCUACAUUGCCUCCCCGACAUCUCUCAAGACCCUCGUCUCGGUGCUCUCCCAUGGUGACCUUGCUGCGUGGGCCAGCGCCGCCAUCAUCCUCUGUGAGCUCCCCUCAACCCCCGACCGACACACCGUCGACGUCAUCUCGAGGACGCCCGGCGUGUGCAGCGCGCUCGUCGGCCUCAUCAGGAAACCCAUGUCCCCGCAGGCCACCAAGCCGCGCUCGUCAUGGCCUACAUCUCGUCUCCGGCAGCAACCGCACGGCCGCCUGCUUUGCCGAGCUAGGGGCAGUGCUCGUCGUUGUGGAGCUCGUCCUUGACGCUGACAAGAGGACUAGCGAGAAGGCACUGGCCGUGCUGAACGGCGUCCUAUGUUGCGCAUGUCCAACAUGGCCACGUGGUUCGCCGUCUCUGUGCUCUGGCGCCUCCUGCCGUGCCGCGGACACUGGCGCCGGCGCGUGCUGCAAUGAGGCGCUGUGUGUGGGCACCUUCGAGAAGCUGCUCCAGGUGGGCUGCGGCGGCGUGACCAAAGAUCGGGCCAAUGAGCUGCUCAAGCUGCUCAAUGGUUUCAGGGACAGCGUAGAGUACAUCGAGACGGUGGACUUCAAGGGGCUCAAGAGGCCAUUUUGA
rnacentral:rRNA from 1 species